GAUCAGUCCCGGAAGUAUCGAUCGUACUCUCCGCUGGAAAACAUCUCGUGACUCCCCAGGAAAGCAAACAGCACCGAAAUCCAGUGUACCCACGUAGAAAAACCCGAUCAAGAUGUCUGAAACUAGAAACCUCAUGACGACGUUCUUAAUUCUGAUCUUCCUGCUAUUGCUGCUCUACGUUAUAAUCGAAAUGUUCUACUAAGAGGAUACAGUCUGCAGCAUUAAUUAGAAGGAUGUGUGAGUGUUUGAAGUAUUUGUUGUUGUUGUUGUUGUGCGUGAAAAGGACUGCGAGCGAGUGAGGAAAAGAUCGGACCACUAUUCACCGAUGCCGAAUGGAUAAACAAUGCACCACCUACAUUUAACAUUUUUAAGAUGCACGUAGAUAUUAGGAUUCCAGCUUGAGCUUCGAACCUCCCAAACAUACACACUGCAUCCCGAUUGCACAGCCGAGUGAUAAUGUUGCACCAUCACUGUCAGCUAUCGAUGGACGUCAGCAUGAGAUCACCAGACGACCGACUUCGUUCGCAAUGCUGCUUGUCAACAAACGGCCCCAGCUCUCCAAAAACUUCAACUAGGUCACCUGCUGUUUUAGACGUUCGAGUUUCGCCAAUUCGCUUGGCGUUGAGUUCUGACGACCUUCAUCACAUCCACCAUCAUCAUUACCGCCUUUCCGACGGCUAGCCAUCACCAAAACGAUCCCACGGUCAGCAACUUACAGUUUCAACAUCGACAGGCUCCGAUAACCAACCUCAAAUCUAAGAACAACAGGUGUAACAGUAUGAAAAAGGACGACAAACAUGUCAACCAAUCCAAGCCGGAUCGUAAAAUAAUACGCCAUCCGACGGCACCAUUUUCUACCAAAUCGAUUAUCAUGAACCUGAUUAUUGCAUUCUUCCUGUAUAUUUUGCGACGAGGCAUAGAAGCCGGUGGGAAAAGUGCAAUCACCAAAUACAGCCGAUUUAUCAAAUAGUGCACUGAGAGGGACGGCGUCAGCGGCAGGUGUUGGAAUACUUAGUUCUUUCUUCUUUGCACAUGGCUAUUUCUCUGUCUUCCCCGCUACUAUUAUCAACUACAAAUGUAAUAAUGUAAUGUUUGA